UCCUCAUCUAUUCUCCAAGAACUGCGAAGAGUCCAGAGACAACUUGAAGUGAUCAACACUAUUGUUGAACCUGGAGGAAUCCUCAAGAUUCACCCAAUGGGAACUUCUCCCGGGGGAAAGACCAAAUCUGCUUCCAAGGAGUUUAGCAGCCCCACUUCUGCUAAUGCCAAUGCAAGUGCAAAGCGAGGUCCCAGGGGGCCCGAGGGAGGUCGAUAUGUAGUAUAAGCUUGCCUUCAACAAGGGCGUAGCCAUUAGCUUGCUUUGCAAAAAACAAAACA